GAUCAACGCUGGCGGCGUGCAUGAGACAUGCAAGUCGAACGGACACUCACGGGCUUGCCUGUGAGUGUUAGUGGCGGACGGCUGAGUAACGCGUAGGUGACCUGCCCCGAAGUGGGGAAUAACUGCCCGAAAGGGUGGCUAAUACCGCAUGUGGUGAUGCGUUCAGACGCAUCAGUAAAGCCGCAAGGCGCUUCGGGAGGGGCCUGCGUCCGAUAGCUCGUUGGUGAGGUAACGGCUCACCAAGGCGACGAUCGGUAGGUGGUCUGAGAGGACGAUCACCCAGACCGGGACUGAGACACGGCCCAGACUCCUACGGGAGGCAGCAGUCGGGAAUUUUGCGCAAUGGACGAAAGUCUGACGCAGCAACGCCGCGUGAGGGAUGACGGCCU
rnacentral:rRNA from 1 species